AUCCCAGCAAGCAAUAGCCGUCAUUUCAACGUCUCGUUUCAGUAUAGACCCGAUAUAGCCGGGCUGUGCCUAGCCCAUAUCUAGCCCAAAUAAACUUUAAUUUGGUUACAUGUGGUUUUUGACAAAAUAAUUUGUGAGAUGUAUGCUAUUUCAUCAUGUAAGCAAAGUUAACAGCGAUUACAAGGUAUUUCGUUUCAUUUCUAUAAAGUGCUUUAUGCAUCGUCUGUACGUAGUCACAAUUUAGCCCAUAAAUAGACCGACUACGAAUAAACCAGGUUUAGCCCAGAAAUAACCAUGAAUUUAAUUACAUGUUGUUUUUCCAAAAUGAUUUGUGAGAUGUAUGAUAUUUAAUCAUGUAAACAAAGUUCAAAGCGAUUAAGGUAUUUUGUUUCAUUUCUUUAAGGUGUUAUAUGCACCGUCUGUACUUAGCCACUAUUUAGCUUACAAAUAGACCGACUACGAAUAACCCACGUUUAGCCCAGAAAUAACCAUUAAUUUAAUUACACGUGGUUUUUGCCAAAUAACUUGUGAGAUGGAUGGUAUUUCAUUGUGUAAGCAAAGUUAACAGCGAUUACAAUGUUUGUUUAAUUUCUUUAAAGUGUUUUAUGCACCGUCGCACAUAGCCACUAUUUAGCUCAUAAAUAGACCGACUACGAACAAACCAUGUUUAGCCCAGAAUAACCUUGAAUUUAAUAAAAUGUUGUUUUUGCCAAAAUAACUUGCAAGAUGUAUGAUAUUUCAUCAGGCAUGCAAAGACACCAGUGAAUUCAAGAUGUUUGGUUUUAUUUAUCUUAUCUUAAUAUCUGCUGUCACGCAUAACAUUCAUUAUUGAUAUACAAAAUCCAGUUACAACUCCGAACCGCUAGAUGGCAGCUGCAGUACACAAACACGAGGCCAAAUCUCGCGAGAAAGAUUUCCGGUGUUUGAAAAUCAACAACACCGACCAGCGAGCAGCCAAGGGGAAAGCAAUCUUCCACACUCGUUUGGUCUUGCGUCAAAGCUGUGUGAAACUGGAUGGAAAAACUUGAGAGACCGUGCCAGAAGAAUGCUGGACAGAGUUCCAUAAAAUUCAUUAAUUUCAAAGUUCAACAUGAAUGGUGGUGGUCCACUGCAGAAGCAAGCAUUUGAAAAAACAUCAGUUCUCAGUUAUUUAAGAUGCUGUGUUGAACAACUUCCCAGCAGCAACAGAACUGGAAGUGAAGGAUGCAAUGGGGGCAUUUCAAACAGGCACCGGGGGUGGGGGGGGGGUAUAGAA